GUGUGCCCCGCCCCCCUUCUCUUCCCCCCCCCCCAUCUCGCGUCAUGGCAGCCUGUGGGGAGAAAGGCUUGGCGGGUGAGGGGGGGGGAGUUGGGGGGAGUGGAGUGAGGGAUGCGAUGGGGUGUCUCCUAUGCCCACACAUGCCCUUGUGUGGGGAGAAAGGAAAAGUGGUGGCUGGAGAGGAGGUGAACUGGAUGCCACAAUUCCACCAUCUGGGGGGUGGGGGUGAGGGAGCUCACCCUGCCUCGCCCCCAAAAUAAUAAUAAUAAUAGUAAUAAUAAUAAUAAUGAUGAUGAUAAUUCAGCCUCCAUAUCUGUUUUUCACAACAUUCCAUUUUCUUUUGUUACAGAAACGCUGAGGUCUCAAAUAGAGAAUAAAUGUUGACCAUUGCACAAGGCAAAUGUUGUUUAGUUGUUUAGUCGUGCCCGACUCUUCAUGACCCCAUGGACCAGAGCACGCCAGGCACUCCUGUCUUCCACUGCCUCCCACAGUUUGGUCAAACUCAUGCUGGUAGCUUCGAGAACACUGUCCAACCAUCUUGUCCUCUGUUGUCCCCUUCUCCUUGUGCCCUACAUCUUUCCCAACAUCCAGGUAUUUUCCAGGGAGUCUUCUCUUCUCAUGAGGUGGCCAAAGUAUUGGAGCCUCAGCUUCAGGAUCUGUUCUUCCAGUGAGCACAGGUACCCCAUUCAGGACCAGGGAAUCCUCCACACCAGCCCGCCUCCUGUCCCCCAAAAACAGUACUUCUGUCUUGUCAGGAUUCAACCUCAAUCUGUUAGCCGCCAUCCAUCCUCCAACUGCCUCCAGACACUCACACAGGACCUUCACCGCCUUCACUGGUUCUGAUUUAAAAGAGAGGUAGAGCUGGGUGUCAUCCGCAUACUAAUGAACACCCAGCCCAAACCUCCUGAUGAUCUCUCCCAGCGGCUGCAUGUAAAUGUUGAAAAGCAUGGGGGAGAGGACAGAACCCUGAGGCACCCCACAAGUGAGAGCCCAGGGGUCUGAACACUCAUCCCCCACCACCACUUUCUGAACACGGCCCAGGAGGAAGGAGCGGAACCACUGUAUGACAGUGCCCCCAGCUCCCAGCCCCUCAAGAUGGUCCAGAAGGAUGUUAUGGUCGAUGGUAUCAAACGCCGCUGAGAGAUCCAGCAGAACUAGGAAACAGCUCUCACCUUUGUCCCUAGCCCGCCGGAGAUCAUCAACCAUUGCGACCAAGGCAGUUUCAGUCCCAUGAUGAGGCCUGAAUCCCGACUGGAAGGGAUCCAAAUGGUCCGCUUCUUCCAGGCGUGCCUGGAGUUGUUCAGCAACCGCUCGCUCAAUCACCUUGCC